AUCACUUUUUAGCCUUUCAGCUAAGAUCAAGUGUAGUAUCUAUUCUUAUAGGACAAUACAUUAAAUGGAUUUUUGGAGCAGGGAGAUGGAAUAGGAUCUUGCUCUGUCUACACCACACAUCAACCUGGUAUUGCAGCACCUCCACAAACAGUGCAUCCCCU
ensembl:snRNA U2 U2 spliceosomal RNA